rnacentral:pre_miRNA from 1 species
UGGAGGGCUCGAAGAUCUUGGAAGGAGAAGAGGCUGGUCCAAGAACUCGGCCUCCCCCC